rnacentral:rRNA from 1 species
UACGUAGGCAGCGAGCGUUGUUCGGAAUCACUGGGCUUAAAGGGCGCGUAGGCGGCAUUUCAAGUCCGGGGUGAAAGCCCCCAGCUUAACUGGGGAAGUGCCUUGGAAACUGGAGUGCUGGAGGGAGGUAGGGGUCGAGGGAACUUCUGGUGGAGCGGUGAAAUGCGUUGAUAUCAGAAGGAACGCCGGUGGCGAAAGCGCUCGACUGGACCUCUUCUGACGCUGAGGCGCGAAAGCUAGGGGAGCAAACGGG